rnacentral:rRNA from 1 species
UACAGAGGGGGCGAGCGUUAUUCGGAAUUAUUGGGCGUAAAGGGCGCGUAGGCGGCUUUUCAAGUGACGGGUGAAAUCCCUCGGCUUAACCGAGGAACUGCCUGUCAGACUGGAAGGCUUGAGACCGGGAGGGGUGAGUGGAAUUCCCAGUGUAGCGGUGAAAUGCGUAGAUAUUGGGAGGAACACCAGUGGCGAAGGCGGCUCACUGGACCGGAACUGACGCUGAGGCGCGAAAGCGUGGGGAGCAAACAGG